AGAGAAGCCUGUGUUUGCUCCCUGAUAUCCAGACAUUACCUGUUGAUUCUUGGGCAAGGCCCAGAAUUUGGUGGACAUACUUAAAGAAGAAAGGAAUCUUCAGCUAAAGUGUCUACGAUCAAUUCAGAUUUGGAGGGCAUGGAUCUUCUGACAGUAGGGGCCAUUCUAGGAUUUUUUGGUUGAAGAGAUGAACUUCAACUUGGUUCCAGAUGGGUGGUCCAGCUAUUCUGCUGACAACAUUUUUCAGGGCAAGGCUUUUGCUACUGGAAUGAUUUAAGGAAGAUCCCUCAGUGUUUCAGAGUAAAGAUAUUUCUAAAGAAGUACCUGUGUCAUUGCCCAUCUUGAAGAUUGACUUUUAUGGAUUGCUCAAAUACUGAUAUCAGCUCAAUGUCAAUAUAUACUCCUACAUAUAAAAUCCAUCUUCUAAUCAUAAUCACUAGGUAAGAUGCUAGUGCAAGUUGAAGUUCUUAAAGGAGAUGACCUGAACAGCCUUCUUAGUGUACCAGGGAGACCAGAUUGAGUUUAAACUAUGUUUACCCUGCACUCAGACACGCCUAGGUGUGUCUGGGAGAUUAGUAGAUGGUGUUCAACAAGGAUCUAUUUAAACAAGGGAGACAUUAAUUUGGAUUCCUUUGGUUGUAAAUUUCCAAAAAAAAAAAAAAGGUCUAAGUUAAAAUGUUUAAGGAGGAUGGGGGAAGAAUGUGAUGACUGUUAUAGUUAAUGUGAGCUUUAGGCUUGGCCGG
rnacentral:lncRNA from 10 species